UUUCUUUUUCUAUCUUGCAGGAGAUUCUUGAAGAUGGUAUUUCCACUGAGGCACAGGACAUUGCUCAGUCUGAGAGGUAUCAAACUUUGAAGCUGUUCACAGGGAUCUUUGGAGUUGGAGUAACGACAGCAGAGCGGUGGUACCAGGAGGGACUGAGAACUUUGGAAGACCUACUUGGGCAGAGCCGUUUACUAACAAGAGAACAGCAAGCAGGGCUUCUGUAUUAUGAAGAUUUACAGAACUGUGUGUCCAUAUCUGAAGCUGAUGUGAUUCGCCAAAUUGUAGAAGAAACCAUUCAGGCUAUUUUACCAGAAGCACAUGUAACAUUAACCGGUGGAUUUAGA